AUCACAAAUAUAAAGAUUGAACGAUCCAAAAGUGGCUGGACAACAAACAGUAUCAGUAUGACUCAUACUUUAAGGGGAAGUGGCAUUCCUGUGAAUGAGAGAAGUUGGAGCGCCCAACGGUCAACGGAUGUAGAAAGAAAGUCCCGCCUUACAGAGUCGCCUGACAGAGUUCUGUGGACCAGCUCGAGGUUCUGCUGAGACGAGUCUGAAGAACACGGAUUGUCCUCAAACAUGUUCAUCUGCAUCAUGGAACAGGACGUGAUGUGCUUGGCAGCGAGCGCUGGAUGGGAUGGACUGUUUGGAGCAGGAUGCUGGGAAUGGCAAGGAUGGAGCUUGUUGCUGUGACGACUGCGGAAAGCUCAUAAUUCCAUGCUGCUUCCCAUUGGUCAGCACCU